CCCUAUUGUAAGUGGAUUUGGUAGGCAAAAACUAAGAAAAAACAGUUGUGUGUAUGUGUGUGUCUCCUUGACUUGACACCACAUGAUAGUUGUAAGUGGGUAUACAAAUGGUAUACAUUGACUCAGGUGUAGCAGGCAGCCGGGGACCUGAAAGAUGGCGAUCCACGCCCGGUCGGGACAAAGCCAGAGGAAACUCUGGUGGAAGUCCAAAGCGCCUCUGACGUACAAAUCGAUCGUCGGAACCGGGUGUAGGGGCAAAAGACCAAUCGAGCCGUCUAGUAGCUGGUUCCCUCCGAAGUUUCCCUCAGGAUAGCUGGCGCCAGCGGGAGAACAACACACAAUUCCGUCCGGUAAAGCGAACGACUGGAGGCCUCGGGGACGUUGACGGCCUCGAUCUACUCUCGAACUCGGAACGGGCGAAAUGGGCCGCUCCUCUCCUGAUCGGAGGCGGCUGUUACGAAUUGUCUUUUGCGAUUCUUGCGACGAAUGCACGGUGCCAAGUGGGCCGCUUUUGGUAAGCAGAACUGGUGAUGUGGGAUGAACCAAACGUCCGGCUAUGGUGCCCUACGCUUCACCCAUUAGAUCCCCGAAAGGGUGUUGGUCAAUAUAGACAGCAGGACGGUGGCCACGGAAGUCGGAAUCCGCUCAGGAGUGUGUAACAACUUACCUGCCGAAUCGACCGGCCCCGAAAAUGGAUGGCACUGGAGUGAGCGACCGAUGCCCGACUUGAAAACCAGUGGGGCUUGAUGACAUGUAGGGUAUCCAGCCAUAGAAAAAUCUACUUCAAAUAGACACUGUCUCACUAAUGCA
rnacentral:ncRNA from 1 species